rnacentral:rRNA from 1 species
AGCAGCCGCGGUAAUUCCAGCUCCAAUAGCGUAUAUUAAAGUUGUUGCAGUUAAAAAGCUCGUAGUUGAAUUUCGGGAUCAAUAUGUCGGUCGUGCCUCGGUACGUACUGGCAUCAUUGGUUUCUCCCUUCUGAUGAACCAUGAUGCCAUUAAUUUGGUGUCGUGGGGAAUCAGGACUGUUACUUUGAAAAAUUAGAGUGUUUAAAGCAGGCUCACGCUUGAAUACAUUAGCAUGGAAUAAUGAAAUAGGACGUUUGAUUCUAUUUUGUUGGUUUCUAGGAUCGACGUAAUGAUUAAUAGGGAUAGUUGGGGGCAUUAGUAUUCAAUUGUCAGAGGUGAAAUUCUUGGAUUUAUUGAAGACUAACUACUGCGAAAGCAUUUGCCAAGGAUGUUUUCAUUAAUCAAGAACGAAAGUUAGGGGAUCGAAGACGAUCAGAUACCGUCGUAGUC